GAUGAACGCUGGCGGCGUGCUUAACACAUGCAAGUCGAACGGCAAGGCCGAAGCUUGCUUCGGUACUCGAGUGGCGAACGUGUGAGUUACACGUGGGUGAUCUGCCCUGUACUUCGUGAUAAGCUUGGGAAACUGGGUCUAAUACCGGAUAUCGCGAUCUCUUGGCUGGGGUUGUGGAAAGCUUUUGCGGUAUGGGAUGAGCUCGCGGCCUAUCAGCUUGUUGGUGGGGUAAUGGCCUACCAAGGCGUCGAGGGGUAGCCGGCCUGAGAGGGUGUACGGCCGGAUUGGAAUCCUGAGACAGGCCAGAGUCCGACAGGAGGGAGAAGGGGGGAAAAUCGGAUAAAGCGAGCAAGCGUGAUGGAGGGAGGCCGUGUGGGUGAAGACGGCCUUCGGGUGGUAAGAACAGUUUGCAAUCGAUGAAGGGGUUUGAUGACGGUAGGGUAAGAAGAAGCACCGGCUAACUACGUG
rnacentral:rRNA from 1 species